rnacentral:rRNA from 1 species
ACGGAGGAUCCAAGCGUUAUCCGGAUUUAUUGGGUUUAAAGGGUGCGUAGGCGGCUUAUUAAGUCAGGGGUGAAAGACGGUGGCUCAACCAUCGCAGUGCCUUUGAUACUGAUGAGCUUGAAUACACUAGAGGUAGGCGGAAUGUGACAAGUAGCGGUGAAAUGCAUAGAUAUGUCACAGAACACCAAUUGCGAAGGCAGCUUACUAUGGUGUUAUUGACGCUGAGGCACGAAAGCGUGGGGAUCAAACAGGAUUAGAUACCCUGGUAGUCCACGCCCUAAACGAUGAAUACUCGAUGUUAGCGAUAUACCGUUAGCGUCUAAGCGAAAGCGUUAAGUAUUCCACCUGGGGAGUACGCUCGCAAGAGUG